UCCCCUCUAGCCACUACUUCCUUCAUUGGACUGCAAGGUAUUUCUGUUUGGAAAAGUAAUGGAGUCCAGUCAACUUCAUUGAUCGCCAAGGACUGUCAAAAUUAUAAAACUUGCUGUGGAGCUCUGACAUGCCAGAAGCCGCUAGAAAAAGAAGUUUGACAUUCAGAAACUUAUCAAGAGGUUCUACUCUUUGGAUAGAGACCAAAAUCAUACUUUGAAAAAAUGAGAAGAGAUGGAAGCCAAGGAAGGGUGUGUGGAAUCAAGUAGCAGUUCUCAAAACAGCAUAUAUCAAGACCUCAGCACAUAUCAAGACCUCAGCACAUAUCAAGACAGUGGCACAAAAGCAUCGUAGUGUUGUCAUUCACCACUAUGCAGGAGGGAAAGCCAAUUUCAUUUCAGAAUGUCCUCAAUUAAUCUGUAGAAAUUAUUAAUUUUAUUAAAUCCCAACCCUUGA
rnacentral:lncRNA from 1 species